rnacentral:rRNA from 1 species
UACGUAGGUGGCAAGCGUUGUCCGGAUUUAUUGGGUUUAAAGGGUGCGUAGGCGGUUUCAUAAGUCAGUGCUGAAAUAUCCCGGCUUAACCGGGAGGGUGGCAUUGAUACUGUGAAACUUGAGUAGAGUUGAGGUUGGCGGAAUUGACGGUGUAGCGGUGAAAUGCUUAGAUAUCGUCAAGAACACCGAUAGUGAAGACAGCUAACUAAACUCUAACUGACGCUGAGGCACGAAAGUGUGGGGAUCAAACAGG